rnacentral:rRNA from 1 species
AGUCAAUAGAUACCCGGGUAGUCCACGCCGUAAACGAUGAGUACUAGGUGUAGGAGGUGUCGACUCCUUCUGUGCCGCAGUUAAACACAAUAAGUACUCCGCCUGGGAAGUACGGUCGCAAGAUUAAAAACUCAAAGGAAUUGACGGGGGCCCGCACAAGCAGCGGAGCAUGUGGUUUAAUUCGAAGCAACGCGAAGAACCUUACCUAGACUUGACAUCUCCUGAAUAGCGCAGAGAUGCGUGAAGCCCUUCGGGGCAGGAAGACAGGUGGUGCAUGGUUGUCGUCAGCUCGUGUCGUGAGAUGUUGGGUUAAGUCCCGCAACGAGCGUAACCCCUAUUAUUAGUUGCUACCAUUAAGUUGAGCACUCUAAUGAGACUGCCCGGGUUAACCGGGAGGAAGCGGGGAUGACGUCAAAUCAUCAUGCCCCUUAUGUCUAGGGCUACACACGUGCUACAAUGGUGAGAACAACGAGAUGCAAUACCGCGAGGUGGAGCAAAACUUGAAAACUCAUCUCAGUUCGGAUUGUAGGCU